rnacentral:rRNA from 1 species
UACAUGAGCACKYKGAGUUCCCYUAUCACACUUUCGUGCAUUGUAAAGUUUUCGCGCCUGCUGCGCCCCGUGGGGCGGGGGCGGCGGGACGGGCGCGGGGCGCGGCGGGCG